CGGAGAGCGACUUCAAAGUCAUUUGUAGAAGGCUAUAACAUUUGGACGACGGAUACACUGGAUGAUAAGGUAGAUGAUCCAGCCUUAUCUUGGAAUGACACGACGGGUGUUGAACAGAGAAAACGUACCGUGUACAAGAAACAAUUGGAGUUUAUGAAAGCUUCAAGGAAUUAAUCCUGUCGGGUACCCAUUCACUUCAUCUGGGUCUAGUGAUGCACAGUGUGAAUGAAAUUCGGGCUGAAGGAAAACACACCAUGGCUAGGACUCAAAUUCACGACCCUCUGUUUGAAAGGUGAGAGUCAGA